GAACAAUCUAGGCUAAACGUACCAGCUGUGAAUUCUUCCGAUUCUGCUAAUGCUUCUGCGUCUCGUAAUGUACAGAAUGGUGCCCAUGCACAGCUUCCAUUACACGGAGCAUCUGUUGCACCUGUUUCAAUUGGUACUGUCAAGCCAAAUGAAACGCCCAUCACUCAGAGAAGUAGCCGAGCUGUUCCUAAGGCUCCAACUUCUCAAUCAGCCACCUUGAGUUCUGAUACUGCAUCACCUAUGACGCCUGCUAAAGCCCCUG
rnacentral:misc_RNA from 1 species